AGCAGUAGCCGCGGGAAUACAGAGGGUGCGAGCGUUAAUCGGAUUUACUGGGCGUAAAGCGUGCGUAGGCGGCUUCUUAAGUCGGAUGUGAAAUCCCUGAGCUUAACUUAGGAAUUGCAUUCGAUACUGGUUAGCUAGAGUGUGGGAGAGGAUGGUAGAAUUCCAGGUGUAGCGGUGAAAUGCGUAGAGAUCUGGAGGAAUACCGAUGGCGAAGGCAGCCAUCUGGCCUAACACUGACGCUGAGGUACGAAAGCAUGGGGAGCAAACAGGAUUAGAUACCCGGGUAGUCCCUGUCUCUUAUAC
rnacentral:rRNA from 1 species